rnacentral:rRNA from 1 species
CCUACGAGUGGCAGCAGUGAGGAAUAUUGGUCAAUGGGCGGAAGCCUUAACCAGCCAAGUAGCGUGCAGGAUGACGGCCCUACGGGUUGUAAACCGCUUUUAUACGGGAAUAACGCGCCUUACGUGUAGGGCUUUGCUUGUACCUUAUGAAUCAGUACCGGCUAAUUCCGUGCCAGCAGCCGCGGUAAUACGGGAGGUCCGGGCGUUAUCCGGAUUUAUUGGGUUUAACGGGAGCGUAGGCCGCAUGUCAAGCGUGCUGUGAAAUGUCCGGGCUCAACCCGGGCCUUGCAGCGUGAACUGGCGUGCUUGAGUCCGCAGAAAGCAGGCGGAAUUCGUCGUGUAGCGGGGAAAUGCUUAGAUAUGACGAAGAACCCCGAUUGCGAAGGCAGCUUGCUGCAGCGGAACUGACGCUGAUGCUCGAAAGCGCGGGUAUCGAACAGGAUUAGAUCCCCAGUAGUC